UUGUACACGUGGUAGAGGAGCUUUCUGUACAGGUUGAAGUCAUACCGUAAGGAGUGGUGGACAGUACAGAAGUGAGAAUGCUGGCAUAAGUAGCGAAAAACAAGUGAGAAUCUUGUUGACCGAAUAUCUAAGGUUUCCUGGGGAAGGCUCGUCCUCCCAGGGUUAGUCGGGACCUAAGCCGAGGCCGAAAGGCGUAGGUGAUGGACAACUGGUUGAUAUUCCAGUACCACCAUAAUGCGUUUGACAAAUGGGAUGACGCAGGAGGAUAGGAUGUGCGCACUAUUGGAUGUGCGUCUAAGCACUUAGGGUGUUAAGUAGGCAAAUCCGCUUAACAUUAAGCCUGAGGUGUGAUGGGGAGCCUAUUUUGGCGAAGUAUCUGAUUACACGCUGCCAAGAAAAGUCUCUAUGGAGCAAAAUGGUGCCCGUACCGCAAACCGACACAGGUAGAUGAGGAGAGAAUCCUAAGGUCGUCGGAAGAAUUAUUGCUAAGGAACUCGGCAAAUUGACCCCGUAACUUAGGGAGAAGGGGUGCCUACGAGAGUAGGCCGCAGUGAAUAGGCUCAAGCAACUGUUUAUCAAAAACACAGGUCUCUGCUAAAGCGUAAGCUGAUGUAUAGGGGCUGACGCCUGCCCGGUGCUGGAAGGUUAAGGGGAAUAGUUAGCGCAAGCGAAGCUAUGAACUUAAGCCCCAGUAAACGGCG
rnacentral:rRNA from 1 species